UAAAUAUGGAGAGAACUGUUAAACGACGAAACAAAGCCCUGCAGACUACGGACGUAGAAAAUUCAACAGCUAAUCAAGAAGAUGAGAAAAACGUACAAGAGAAGCCGAGAAACACAUUGAAGUACUACUUCAAUAGAUUUAGCUUGAUCAACAGGAUGCUGAAAUGACGAGCACGAUGAAUAUGGACGAUGGAUAACUUACACUACAAAUACAUUAUGUAUACAUAUAUUUUGUAGAAUAAAUUAUUUUUAUUCAAGUAAUUUGAAAUACAUGAAAUACGCGAGCGUCUACUAAUAACGAGACUGUUCAAUCGCGCGAUUCUAUUAUGUACUUUAUAAACAUCGCUACUAUUCAAUGUAAAAUCAAUAAUAAAUUCCUAAGAUAUUGAAAACGUUGAUUAAA